ensembl:lncRNA
GCUCCCUACGGCUCUGCGGCCGCUGCUCUUUUGUUUACAAGUUCGCCGGGGAGCUGAGGGGAGGACUCCGUCCCUGGAGCCCGCUCGGAGAUUCUAGAACAGAUGGGACGUGCUGCAGGCAGGCUGUCUCAGGCGGAGCCUCGGUUUUCCCGUCGCAGAGACCGCGUCCCCACAUGGGUCCUUUCUGUCCCCAAAUCCAUCACAAAACACGUCAGUAGGACUUUGAAAUUUCCAAGAAGGGACGGCUGUGACGCAGGAAGUCAACCAAGUCACUCUGUGGGCAGAAUCUCAUGUUGAAGAGCUAAACCCGAUCCAGUGUGAAGCCCGGGCGGAGGUCCUGACCCCGAGGAACUUGUCAGAGCCUUGGAACUGUAAGUGGCUUCCGACUCCCAGCAGGAGACCACGUCGGUGUUCCUGCCCCUCAGCUGCCCAGACGUGCGGCGGGAGGCUGGGGCGCUCCGCAGGCCCCUGGUCACCACCUCCAGCCUCUCUGUGCUGACCAGGUCCUUGGGGAAGAUGUAACCUCUGGCCCCUGAGCUUUCUGGGAUCCUGCCAG